rnacentral:sRNA from 1 species
GGAGGCUGCUUGGCUUGGUUGCUGAACCAGAGCCCCAGGAGGCCGAAAUGGCCCCACACCUGCACCAUCCCACCUCUUUGUCCAGUCACCCCAGGGCCAGGUGAGGGCCCUGGCCACACGGCGUGCCGUUCCCUUCUUCCCCAUGCCCCACUCAUGGGUCAGAUGGCCGGUGCUGGGUUCCAGACGGUGUCAACAGGGACGGUCCCUGUCCUGCCCAAGGACAGGAGCCUGUGGCCCACAGAGGGUUUCUGGGCCCAGCCGAUCCUGGGGACGGUCCCAUGGCCCUGCCCAUAGGUUCCUGGCCUCUCUCGGGGCCGUGGUGCCCUCACAGGUGUGUGUCAGGAGGACAGGAAAGGCUGCUUGUCCCAGGGGCUCGUGUGGAGACCACCCUCUGCACGCAGCUGGGGCACUCCUGCCUGCGUCCUCAGAAGCACUCGGCUUAGCUUUGCCCGUGUACCUGGGCUGUGGGCCGCAGAGCCCGGCCAGCAUCCUCUGAUCUCUGAGGGCGCAUCUCUACUGGAGGCCCCUCCUGGGCCUCUUGCUCCUCGCUUCCCAGAUCAUUAGGAUAUCUGGGGUCCAGAAGGGCCUCCCAGUCAUCCUGGGCCUUGUCCUCCAGGGCCACCAGUCCAGCCAGUGACAACCACAGCAUCCCCGGCCUGGAACGAGGCUGCCCCCAGCACGUUCCUCGUACUCCUGUCCAGGGACAGGAGGGGCUGCCCCUGCCACCGAGUCCCCUUCUCCAGGACCUGGGGCCUGUGGGUGUGAGGCAGGUGUUCUUGGAAGGGGUCACUCUCCAGGCACCUGGCGGCCAAGCCUUGUGGCUGGAGCAGCUCCCGCUGCUGGGUCGGCGUCGGGCCCCGUGUGGCCGGAGAGGAGCUGAAGGGUCACUUAGCUUCGGGCUGGGGCAAGGACAGGGGACACCCCAGAGAGGUGUGCCAGGCCUCCUUCCUGCGCCCCACUCUCGGCGGAAGCAGAGGUCACAGGCUGUGCUGAGGCCCCAUGGUGCUGCCCCUACGAUGCCAGGGUGAGGCUGGCGUUGGAAGCAGGUGUCUGACCUGCAUGGUGUCACUGUGGCCACAUCAGAGCUCCAGCCCCAGAGCCGCCCACCCUCAGGCCUUGGCUGUGGUUUCCCUGGGCUGGAGGAGCCUGCCGUGGUGUUGGCCACACGACCACAGGACCUGCCACCCCCGACAUGGGCUCUGCCUGGGUCCCCACUGGACGGGGGGACCCCUUGGAGCUCCUCUGGCCACCAAGUCCUAGCCCAUUCCAGAAUUGGCCUUCUGGAGCCUCUUGCUGUCCCUGAUGCGGGCUGGGCCUUGCCAAGGGCUUUUUUUCCAGCACUGGGAACAGGGUGGAUUUGCUGGGCUCACUCCACUCAGAGAAGCUGCAGGUGUGGUGGGUUAGGUCUGAGGGCGUUAGAGAGGAGCCUGGGGUGGGGCUGGGGCCUGGCAGGGGAUCUGGCAGCCCUGGGCCUCCCACCUCCUGUCAGGACCAAAAAAGGCAACACGCCCCUCCUGACCUGUACCCCUGAGUGAACCCAACCUUGCAACCCCGGAGUGUCAGGGCCUGAGGGGAGGGAGACCUGGCUCCUGGGCGCCGUGCCCGUAAGGAGGUGGCCACCUGCAGGGCAUUCCUGGCAGAGGCUUCAUCUGGCCAGGUAUGAGGCUGGGUGGCCGAGCCCCAGAUCUGGGCGUGUUCUCUGCCUGGUGGUGGGUCCUGCCCCAGGCACCUUCUCACUGGCUGGGCAGGGACAAUGGGCCUGGCUGUGAGAAGGGGGCCUGGGCUGCCUUCUGCAUUGCCGCAGUGACGGGAGAUGGACCCCGCCUGCUGAGGGAUAGGGGAGUGGGCAGGUACUGAGAGACAUUGACAGCUGUCCCGAGGCUACAGGACCCUGUCUGGGUGGCCGGGCCCAUGUCUUGGGCCCACAGUGUGACCCCCACCCUUGGACGGCGCCUUCUUCCUCCCCAGGUGCGGCUGCCCAGCCAGGGGGUGUGGGGGAGUUCGGGAGGGCUGGCUUACACGGCCUGGUCCAGCUGUCCCAGGUGGGGUUCUGGGCUUCAGCCCUCAGCCCAGGGCCUAGGAAGCCAACUUGAUCCCCCCACACAGCAGCCAGGUUCAAAGGCAGGUCCCGUAAUGGAAGUGCUGCUGUGCAGCCAAGAUUGGGGGGCAGGAGCCAGCAGGGCCCCCCACCCUCUUCUCACACCACACUGGGGAGGCAGCAUUGGUGCCAGUUCCGGUUCCUGGGCUGCCCCUCAACCCUGGCCUACAGCGGAGCCCACCCUGUGCCUUCUGAUGCCACUCCCACCCCACGCCGAGUCCCAGAGGCUUUGGGAGUGGGUGAAGGCAGUGGGUGGUGGGUGGCGGGUGCAGGCGGUAGGUGGUGGGUAUGGCAGAUGGUGGGCCACACUGCAGGUGUCAUCCCUGCGAAGCACCUGUCUUCAGCACUCAGAGCACUCGUGAGGCGCACAGUCCCCGUGUGGCCUCCUUAGUCUCCGUCCUGUGUCAUGGAAGAGGCAACUGAGGCACAGAAAGCUCACCGGGCCAGGCUGGGAUGUGAGGUCCCUUGCUGCUCAUCCCUGGCAGUCAGCAACCCUACAUCUUCCCAGCUGGGCAGCCCGUGGUGGGUUCGGCACCCAGGACCCUCGGGAGUCUUAGGCUGUGACGAGUGUGCAGGCACCCACCCGGUGUCUCUCUCCACCCAAGGCAUCUACAUCCUCAUCGCUGUGGGCGCUGUGAUGAUGUUCGUUGGCUUCCUGGGCUGCUACGGGGCCAUCCAGGAAUCCCAGUGCCUGCUGGGGACGUUCUUCACCUGCCUGGUCAUCCUGUUUGCCUGUGAGGUGGCCGCCGGCAUCUGGGGCUUUGUCAACAAGGACCAGGUGAGCCUGGGUGCGCGGGGACAGGGUGGGGUGGGUGAUGGGGGCACCCUCCCCUCCUGUCGCGGGUGGGGUGGGUGAGGGGCACCCUCCUCUCCUGUCGCGGGUGGGGGUUGGGCUGACUCAUGGCUUGUGGGAGCUCUUUGGGCUCCUCCUGGGUCCCACUUUGCUAGGAGGAUCUCCAGGGGCUUUAUGGAGGAGGCAGCACUGGGGCUGAGCACAAGGCCAGCCUCCUGUGUCCCAGCACUCCUGGGGCAGCUGAGAGUGCAGAGUCCUUGUCCUCUGGGGUCUGGCCUCGAAGCCACCCUGCCCAGGGAGAGCCUGGGAAAAGUGCAUCCGCCUGAGGCGGGGCGGGGUGGGGGCAAGGAGGGGGAGGUUCCCCCUGUGCAUGUGACCGCACCCCUCCCCCAGAUCGCCAAGGAUGUGAAGCAGUUCUAUGACCAGGCCCUACAGCAGGCUGUGGUGGAUGACGACGCCAACAACGCCAAGGCUGUGGUGAAGACCUUCCAUGAGACGGUGCGACUCCCAGGGGCGAGGGCGGGGAGCAGGGCCCCGGGAACCCGGCUGGGGUGUGUCUCGUCCUGGAUGAAUCCCGCCUCCGCUCAGACCUCAGGAGCAGGAGGUGCCCUUGGGACCUCCAGGACCCCUGGGCUCAACUGGUCCUCAGGUGGGAACCUAGUAGGCCAGGCUGGCCCAGGGUGUGGAAAGCUCUGAGCAGCGCAGCUGAGGAGGAAGAAGGCUGACCCCUGGAUGCGUUCUGCAGUGGGGAGCGCCGCGUACCCCUGGCCACCUCCCCGUGGGUUCCCUAGAGCCACCGUCCCCCUGGGCACGUCCAGGGCUGACCUCACACCCCUGCUCUCUGCAGCUUGACUGCUGUGGCUCCAGCACGCUGACUGCUCUGACCACCUCAGUGCUCAAGAACAACUUGUGUCCCUCGGGCAGCAACAUCAUCAGCAACCUCUUCAAGGUGCGCCAGGCCGGCGGGGCCGCGCCUGAUCCCCCGCAUGUCCCGCCCCUGGGUGGGGUCCUGGGGGUGGGCAGGUCACGUGGCAGCCCCACGGGGAGCGACCACACUGGGUGGCAUGGCCCCUGUCAGGGCUGCUGUGCCAGGAGGGUCGGGGUGGGACCGCAUCUGGCCCACGAGGAAGGCAGGCGCCCUGUACUGCCCAUUCUGGGUGAAGAAGGUGGAGGCUCUGAGGGUGGGAACUCACCUGUACCCCCAGCUCCACGUGUGCACUCGUGGGUGUGGAUGCCCCCGACAGCCUGUAGCUGGCGGGGCCUGCAGGCCGUAUAGUGCCCUGUGGAAGUUUCCUGCUGAGGCCUCAGUGGAAGUCAGCGGGUGAACAUCAGUGAUGCUUUAGGGAUCUAGUGACACCAAUGACCGUGAUCUCAGUGGAAAAGGGCACAGCGUGUCCCAGACAUUUCGCGUUUAUGUUAAAAUGGGUAGAAGAUAGAAAGCUGGCAGAGGCCAGGCCGCUGCACCCACCUGUUCCGAGGUGGGUAGGGGGUGGGGGGCUGUUCCCAGGAUUCCCCUCUACACGUUCUGUGGUGACCACGGAUUACUGCGUGACAACGGGAAGCCGGGAGCCGAGGCCCGGUCCCUGACCACGCGCGCCUGGCCACCCCUGCAGGAGGACUGCCACCAGAAGAUCGAUGACCUCUUCUCCGGGAAGCUGUACCUCAUCGGCAUUGCUGCUAUCGUGGUCGCCGUGAUCAUGGUGAGCGGGCGGGGGAGGGCCUGUUCUCCGGGCUGCCCCUUCCGCGGGGCCUUGUGCUGACUGCGCCCCCCACCACCCUCCCGCAGAUCUUCGAGAUGAUCCUGAGCAUGGUGCUGUGCUGUGGCAUCCGGAACAGCUCCGUGUACUGAGGCCCCGCAGCUCUGGCCGCAGGGACCUCUGCAGUGCCCCCCAAGUGACCCGGACACUUCCGAGGGGCCAUCACCGCCUGUGUAUAUAACGUUUCCGGUAUUACUCUGCUACACGUAGCCUUUUUACUUUUGAGGUUUUUUGUUCUGAACUUUCCUGUUACCUUUUCAGGACUGACGUCACAUGUAGGUGGCGUGUGUGAGUGGAGACGGGCCUGGGUCUUGGGGACUGGAGGGCAGGGGUCCUUCUGCCCCUGGGGUCCCAGGGUGCUCUGCCUGUUCAGCCAGGCCUCUCCUGGGAGCCACUCGCCCAGAGACUCAGCUUGGCCAACCUGGGGGGCUGUGUCCACCCAGCCCCCCCGCCCUGUGGGCUGCACAGCUCACCUUGUUCCCUCCUGCCCCGGUUUGAGAGCCGAGUCUAUGGGCACUCUCUGCCUUCAUGCACCUGUCCUUUCUAACACGUCACCUUCAACUGUAAUCACAACAUCCUGAAUCCGUCAUUUAAUAAAGAAGGAACAUCAGGCAUGCU